rnacentral:rRNA from 1 species
AAGUGUGGGGAGCAAACAGGAUUAGAUACCCUGGUAGUCCACACCGUAAACGAUGAUUGCUAGGUGUGGGGGGUCUAACCCCCUCCGUGCCGUAGCUAACGCAAUAAGCAAUCCACCUGGGGAGUACGGCCGCAAGGCUGAAACUCAAAGGAAUUGACGGGGGCCCGCACAAGCAGUGGAUUAUGUGGUUUAAUUCGAAGCAACGCGAAGAACCUUACCAGGUCUUGACAUCCGACUAACGAAGUAGAGAUACAUCAGGUGCCCUUCGGGGAAAGUCGAGACAGGUGGUGCAUGGUUGUCGUCAGCUCGUGUCGUGAGAUGUUGGGUUAAGUCCCGCAACGAGCGCAACCCUUGCCAUUAGUUGCUACGCAAGAGCACUCUAAUGGGACCGCUACCGACAAGGUGGAGGAAGGUGGGGAUGACGUCAAAUCAUCAUGCCCCUUAUGACCUGGGCUACACACGUAAUACAAUGGCCGUUAACAGAGGGCAGCGAAGGCGCGAGCCGGAGCGAAUCCCUAAAAACGGUCUCAGUUCGGAUCGCAGGCUGCAACUCGCCUGCGUGAAGUCGGAAUUGCUAGUAAUCGCGGAUCAGCACGCCGCGGUGAAUACGUUCCCGGGCCUUGUACACACCGCCCGUCACACCAUGGGAGUUUGUAACACCCGAAGUCAGUAGUCUAACCGCAAGGAGGACGCUGCCGAAGGUGGGAUAAGCGACUAGGGUGAAGUCGUAACAAGGUAGCCGUAUCGGAAGGUGCGGCUG